rnacentral:rRNA from 1 species
AGAGUUUGAUCAUGGCUCAGGAUGAACGCUAGCGGCAGGCUUAACACAUGCAAGUCGAGGGGUAGCAGGAAAAAGCUUGCUUUUUCGCUGACGACCGGCGGACGGGUGCGUAACGCGUAUGCAACCUACCUCUUACUGGGGAAUAGCCCGGAGAAAUUCGGAUUAAUGCCCCAUAGUAUUUUGGUCUCGCAUGAGAUUAAAAUUAAAGGUUACGGUAAGAGAUGGGCAUGCGUCCCAUUAGCUAGAUGGUAAGGUAACGGCUUACCAUGGCAACGAUGGGUAGGGGGCCUGAGAGGGUGAUCCCCCACACUGGUACUGAGACACGGACCAGACUCCUACGGGAGGCAGCAGUGAGGAAUAUUGGACAAUGGACGCAAGUCUGAUCCAGCCAUGCCGCGUGCAGGAAGAAUGCCCUAUGGGUUGUAAACUGCUUUUAUUUGGGAAUAAACCCCCCAACGUGUUGGGGGCUGAAGGUACCAAAAGAAUAAGCACCGGCUAACUCCGUGCCAGCAGCCGCGGUAAUACGGAGGGUGCAAGCGUUAUCCGGAAUCAUUGGGUUUAAAGGGUCCGCAGGCGGACGUAUAAGUCAGUGGUGAAAGCCUACAGCUUAACUGUAGAACUGCCAUUGAUACUGUACGUCUUGAAUUCGGUCGAAGUGGGCGGAAUGUGUCAUGUAGCGGUGAAAAUGCAUAGAUAUGACACAGAACACCGAUAGCGAAGGCAGCUCACUAGGCCUGAAUUGACGCUCAGGGACG